GUUUCCUCCAGGUGCUCUGACAUGUUCUCCCCGUGUCAGCGUGGGUUUCCUCCAGGUGCUCUGACAUGUUCUCCCUGUGUCAGCGUGGGUUUCCUCCAGGUGCUCUGACAUGUUCUCCCCGUGUCAGCGUGGGUUUCCUCCAGGUGCUCUGACAUGUUCUCCCUGUGUCAGCGUGGGUUUCCUCCAGGUGCUCUGACAUGUUCUCCCUGUGUCAGCGUGGGUUUCCUCCAGGUGCUCCGACAUGUUCUCCCUGUGUCAGCGUGGGUUUCCUCCAGGUGCUCUGACAUGUUCUCCCUGUGUCAGCGUGGGUUUCCUCCAGGUGCUCCCACAUGUUCUCCCUGUGUCAGCGUGGGUUUCCUCCAGGUGCUCUGACAUGUUCUCCCUGUGUCAGCGUGGGUUUCCUCCAGGUGCUCUGACAUGUUCUCCCUGUGUCAGCGUGGGUUUCCUCCAGGUGCUCUGACAUGUUCUCCCUGUGUCAGCGUGGGUUUCCUCCAGGUGCUCCGACAUGUUCUCCCCGUGUCAGCGUGGGUUUCCUCCAGGUGCUCUGACAUGUUCUCCCUGUGUCAGCGUGGGUUUCCUCCAGGUGCUCUGACAUGUUCUCCCUGUGUCAGUGUGGGUUUCCUCCAGGUGCUCCGACAUGUUCUCCCCGUGUCAGCGUGGGUUUCCUCCAGGUGCUCUGACAUGUUCUCCCCGUGUCAGCGUGGGUUUCCUCCAGGUGCUCUGACAUGUUCUCCCUGUGUCAGUGUGGGUUUCCUCCAGGUGCUCUGACAUGUUCUCCCUGUGUCAGCGUGGGUUUCCUCCAGGUGCUCCGACAUGUUCUCCCUGUGUCAGCGUGGGUUUCCUCCAGGUGCUCUGACAUGUUCUCCCUGUGUCAGCGUGGGUUUCCUCCAGGUGCUCUGACAUGUUCUCCCCGUGUCAGCGUGGGUUUCCUCCAGGUGCUCCAGCUUCCUCCCACAGUCCAAAGACAUGCAGGUUAAUUGGUGACUCUAAAUUGUCCGUAGGUGUGAAUGUGAGUGUGAAUGGUUGUCUGUCUCUAUCGUGACCUGUCCAGGGUGAACCCUGCCUUUGACAGGUGGGA